UACGUAGGGUGCGAGCGUUAAUCGGAUUUACUGGGCGUAAAGCGUGCGUAGGCGGUUGGGUAAGUCGGAUGUGAAAGCCCUGGGCUUAACCUGGGAAUGCCAUUCGAUACUGCCCGACUCGAGUUCGGUAGAGGGCGGUGGAACUCCAGGUGUAGCGGUGAAAUGCGUAGAUAUCUGGAAGAACACCAAUGGCGAAGGCAACCGCCUGGGCCUGAACUGACGCUGAGGCACGAAAGCGUGGGGAGCAAACAGG
rnacentral:rRNA from 1 species